rnacentral:rRNA from 1 species
AGUAACACGUGAGUAACCUGCCCCAGACUCUGGGAUAAGCACUAGAAAUGGUGUCUAAUACCGGAUAUGAACCUCCACCGCAUGGUGAGGGGUUGGAAAGAAUUUCGGUCUGGGAUGGACUCGCGGCCUAUCAGCUAGUUGGUGAGGUAAUGGCCCACCAAGGCGACGACGGGUAGCCGGCCUGAGAGGGCGAUCGGCCACACUGGGACUGAGACACGGCCCAG